rnacentral:rRNA from 1 species
UACGGGGGGGGUAAGCGUUGUUCGGAAUUACUGGGCGUAAAGGGCUCGUAGGCGGCCAACUAAGUCAGACGUGAAAUCCCUCAGCUUAACUGGGGAACUGCGUCUGAUACUGGAUGGCUUGGAUUCGGGAGAGGAAUGCGGAAUUCCAGGUGUAGCGGUGAAAUGCGUAGAUAUCUGGAGGAACACCGGUGGCGAAGGCGGCAUCUG